rnacentral:rRNA from 1 species
UAGGGAAUCUUCGGCAAUGGACGAAAGUCUGACCGAGCAACGCCGCGUGAGUGACGAAGGUUUUCGGAUCGUAAAACUCUGUUGUUAGAGAAGAACAAGGACGUUAGUAACUGAACGUCCCCUGACGGUAUCUAACCAGAAAUCCACGGCUAACUACGUGCCAGCAGCCGCGGUAAUACGUAGGUGGCAAGCGUUGUCCGGAUUUAUUGGGCGUAAAGCGAGCGCAGGCGGUUUCUUAAGUCUGAUGUGAAAGCCCCCGGCUCAACCGGGGAGGGUCAUUGGAAACUGGGAGACUUGAGUGCAGAAGAGGAGAGUGGAAUUCCAUGUGUAGCGGUGAAAUGCGUAGAUAUAUGGAGGAACACCAGUGGCGAAGGCGGCUCCCUGGUCUGUAACUGACGCUGAGGCUCGAAAGCGUGGGGAGCAAACAGG